AGGGACGGGUGUGGCCACAGUGCAGGUCUGAAUUCCCUUCCUGGUAUCCUGGAAGUUGAGAAGUAUGGUGAAGUCAGCAGACAUACUUACACAGAGAGAAAUAAGAGACGCCUAAAGGGAAGCAAGAAUGGAAAGCAUCCUUUAAAUGACCGAUUUACAAUUGGAUUCCCUCCGAGAACACUUCCCUCAGCUUAUACGGAACACCUUGUCCAGUUCUGGGAGAACACUUCAUCCUGUUCUCUGGGAUCCAAAAACUGCAGU